AGCAUGUCGGAGGUUCUUUCCUGCCCGCCGCGUUGCCUCCCAGGUCUAAGGGAUACAUGAGACUUGGCUGCAAUGCAGCAGCCUGAUGGGGAUUUCUGAAUCUGGCAGGGUCCAGGGGAAACCAGUGAUGAGUUUCCUUAGUGGGGGGGAAAGACACCGGAGCAUAAUGAUGGCUCCUGGCAGAGAGUGAGACUACCAGAGCUGCCCAUCGAUGAUUGCUGGGUCCAUUCCCUAAUCCAGCCCUCCUCUGCACCAUAACCUCUCUCUCCAACAAUCUCAUUUCCCCACAGGGCUCCCCUUUACUGUAUCUGGCAAAGCCCCAUCUGGUGAAAGACCGUGUCUCUUCCUCAGACUCCACUUGCACCUCAGCAGCAGGCUGUUGUCAAAAUAACACCGGAGACUAUACUGAUGGGCUUCCUUCAAAUACGCGAUCGGAUCAGAAACUCCUGUGGGCUCACCAGAUGUCAGGAGCGAUGGGACACCAGAGGCGGAAGAACCUAUGUCCCCAGGCUACAGCAAAGCUCCCAGCCCUAUGAAAAUCAUCUAGCCUGCUCUGAGCCACAUGCCUAGAGGUCACAGAGGCAUGCGGGAAAGUGAGAGGAAGUGGAAACGUGCUACAAAAAGGGCUCAAAGCAAUGUGCUCACCACCGGAAAAAAAAAUAAAAAUAAACACCCUCAGAAAUAGUGUAA
rnacentral:lncRNA from 1 species